rnacentral:rRNA from 1 species
AUUGAACGCUGGCGGAAUGCUUUACACAUGCAAGUCGAACGGCAGCACGGGAGCUUGCUCCUGGUGGCGAGUGGCGAACGGGUGAGUAACAUAUCGGAACGUACCCAGUCGUGGGGGAUAACUAUCCGAAAGGAUAGCUAAUACCGCAUACGUCCUGAGGGAGAAAGCGGGGGAUCGCAAGACCUCGCGCGAUUGGAGCGGCCGAUAUCGGAUUAGCUAGUUGGUGGGGUAAAGGCUCACCAAGGCGACGAUCCGUAGCGGGUCUGAGAGGACGACCCGCCACACUGGAACUGAGACACGGUCCAGACUCCUACGGGAGGCAGCAGUGGGGAAUUUUGGACAAUGGGGGCAACCCUGAUCCAGCCAUUCCGCGUGAGUGAAGAAGGCCUUCGGGUUGUAAAGCUCUUUCAGCAGGAACGAAACGGUCGGCUUUAAUAAAGUCGGCUAAUGACGGUACCUGCAGAAGAAGCACCGGCUAACUACGU